UACAGAGGGGGCAAGCGUUGUUCGGAAUUACUGGGCGUAAAGGGCGCGUAGGCGGCCUUCUAAGUCGAACGUGAAAUCCCCGGGCUCAACCCGGGAACUGCGUCCGAUACUGGAAGGCUUGAAUCCGGGAGAGGGAUGCGGAAUUCCAGGUGUAGCGGUGAAAUGCGUAGAUAUCGGAAGGAACAUCAGUGGCGAAAGCGACUUCCUGGACCAGUACCGACGUCAGGCACGAAAGCGUGGGGAGCAAACAGG
rnacentral:rRNA from 1 species